AAUAUACUGCCACCGGGUAGAAGAGUGUUAAAGCAUUCGUCGCAUAGCGUUAGGUCUUUGAAGCUAUGCCGCGAAUGCUUUUUGAUUG
rnacentral:ncRNA from 1 species